UACGAAGGGGGCUAGCGUUGCUCGGAAUCACUGGGCGUAAAGGGUGCGUAGGCGGGUCUUUAAGUCAGGGGGGAAAUCCUGGAGCUCAACUCCAAAACUGCCUUUGAUACUGAGGAUCUUGAGUUCGGGAGAGGUGAGUGGAACUGCGAGUGUAGAGGUGAAAUUCGUAGAUAUUCGCAAGAACACCAGUGGCGAAGGCGGCUCACUGGCCCGAUACUGACGCUGAGGCACGAAAGCGUGGGGAGCAAACAGG
rnacentral:rRNA from 1 species